AUGAAUUUUCAUGUGCAGAUUUUCAGCUUCAUGCUUAUCAGUGUCACAGUCAUAGGGUCCAGUGGAGAAAUUGGGCUCAUUCAGUCUUCAACAAUCAUGGCUGCAUCUCCAGGGGAGAAGGUCACUAUCACCUGCAGUGUCAGCUCAAGUGUAAGUUCCAGCUACUAGCACUGGUACCAGCAGAAGUCAGGAGCCUCCCCCAAACUCUGGAUUUAUGGCUCAUUCAACCUGGCUUCUGAAGUUUCAGCUCACUUCAGUGGUAGUGGGUCUGGGACCUCUUACUCUCUCACAAUCAGCAGCAUGGAGGCUGAAGAUGCUGCCACUUAUUACUGCCAGCAGGUUACUUGUUCCCUACCCA